AAGAACAAACAACAACAGAGAGUAUGGCGGAACGGAAGAAAGCGCCGACGGGAUGGGAUCUCGAAGCGAAAAAGAACCUGUUUCUGGACAUGUGUCUGAUUCAGCUUCAACAGCAGCGCAUUCAACGGCAGUCGAGACGUCGACCCAGUCGCCUUUUCUUGAGCCCCUGAGCGGAUCCCUUUCCUGGGAUUUAGAUGGAGAGGAAGCCAACGCAUAAGCAUCGCCAUGUCCAUUCUCCAGGCAAGGAAGAACCUGUUGAUGGCAGCAUCAUCAUGAACAUGACGGGGCACAAAGUGUCAAGAGUGAACGAACUUUUGGGGCAAGUCGCAAAACUUCUCUUGUCAUCAUCGUCAUCGAGCAGUAGUCAAUGGACUUUGCUUAAACUUAGUGCAGCUGAUGGACAGCGGAACAGCAGCCAGCAGCCAGAUCCAAGCCCCAUUUCACUACAAGCUUUGCAAAAGAGGGCAGUUUUUGUAUGUUUAAUGAUAUCUCAGCAGCUAAAUAUCUGCACAUAUUUGUGCACUGAGAAUAUAUGAUGAUGUAUCAUCCUCUUAAGUAAUACAGUCUCAAAUAACACACGAAAACAUCUGUCUAACGCGAAUCGGUGUUCACAGUCCCCAGAAAUCGUCUUUAAGCUUUCGCUUUGAUGUUUACUUUUGAAUAUUUGUUGGCUCUAGACACCGCCGAUAUAAAAAAUAUGCAUAAUAAAUACGAACGCAAAGAUACGAGAUACAUAUAUAGAUGGAAUAUAAAAUAUGGCAUCCAAUUCCAAGAAUUUAGAAUUUACUUAUAUUAUCACAUUUCAAUGGGAACUUCUAUGCUCGGAAACCUUGUCCCAGAGCAGAGGGUUGGCAUUAUUUAUUUACAUUAAAAAUGAUAUUUUCAAA